rnacentral:rRNA from 1 species
UACGUAGGUGGCGAGCGUUGUCCGGAUUUACUGGGCGUAAAGAGCGCGCAGGCGGUCGUACAAGUCGGGUGUGAAAGCCCCCGGCUCAACUGGGGAGGGUCACGCGAUACUGUUCGACUCGAAGGCAGGAGAGGGUAGUGGAAUUCCCGGUGUAGUGGUGAAAUGCGUAGAUAUCGGGAGGAACACCAGUGGCGAAGGCGACUACCUGGCCUGUUCUUGACGCUGAGGCGCGAAAGCGUGGGGAGCAAACAGG